GUGUCAGCAGCCGCGGUAAGACAGAGGGUGCAAACGUUGUUCGGAAUUACUGGGCGUAAAGCGCGUGUAGGCUGUCAUGCAAGUCGGGUGUGAAAGCCCAGGGCUCAACCCUGGAAGUGCACUCGAAACUGCAAGACUUGAGUCUCGGAGAGGAAAGCGGAAUUCUGGGUGUAGAGGUGAAAUUCGUAGAUAUCCAGAGGAACACCGGUGGCGAAGGCGGCUUUCUGGACGAGUUCUGACGCUGAGACGCGAAAGCGUGGGGAGCAAACAGGAUUAGAAACCCCUGUAGUCC
rnacentral:rRNA from 1 species